GUGUCAGCCGCCGCGGUAAUACGGAGGGUGCAAGCGUUAUCCGGAUUCACUGGGUUUAAAGGGUGCGUAGGUGGGUCUGUAAGUCAGUGGUGAAAUCUCCGAGCUUAACUCGGAAACUGCCAUUGAUACUAUAGAUCUUGAAUCAUCUGGAGGUAAGCGGAAUAUGUCAUGUAGCGGUGAAAUGCUUAGAUAUGACAUAGAACACCAAUUGCGAAGGCAGCUUACUACGGGUGUAUUGACACUGAGGCACGAAAGCGUGGGGAUCAAACAGGAUUAGAAACCCUUGUAGUCC
rnacentral:rRNA from 1 species